CGUUGAAACAUCGGUUUCCGUACAAUCAUCGAAGUUAAGCAACAUCGAGCCUAGUCAGUAUCUAAAUGGGUGACCGUUUGGGAAUACCAGAUGCUGUAA